rnacentral:rRNA from 1 species
UGGGGAAUCUUGGACAAUGGGGGCAACCCUGAUCCAGCGAUGCCGCGUGGGUGAAGAAGGCCUUCGGGUUGUAAAGCCCUUUAGGCCGGGACGAAGGUAGUGGGGGGAAAUACCUGCUAUUUGACGGUACCGGCAGAAUAAGCACCGGCAAACUCUGUGCCAGCAGCCGCGGUAAUACAGAGGGUGCGAGCGUUAAUCGGAGUUACUGGGCGUAAAGGGUGCGUAGGCGGUUUGAUGAGUGUGAUGUGAAAGCCCUGGGCUUAACCUAGGAAGUGCAUCGCAAACGAUCGAACUGGAGUAGAUGAGAGGGUGGCGGAAUUUCCGGUGUAGCGGUGAAAUGCGUAGAGAUCGGAAGGAACGUCAAUGGCGAAGGCAGCCACCUGGCAUCAUACUGACGCUGAGGCACGAAAGCGUGGGGAGCGAACAGG